AUGUUUUCCUCCCCAAACAGAUACUGGUUUGAUGAACGAACCCGCAGAACUGGGACAGAAUCUGUUUUCAGCAAUGUUCCCUGGCAGGCGUCGACAAUACCGCACACCAAGCAAAGCGACAGCUACAAUUGUGGAGUUUAUGUGUUGCUGAUGGCCAGAGAGUUAAUGCAGAGGGAGAAGGCACUAAGUGACCCAACUGUCCCAAUGCAUGUUAACAUCGGUGGUGCCAGAAUGGAGGUGGCCAAAGAGAUCCUGGACAAAGAACUUAACAGGAAACUCUACUGCAGUUUCUGUGCAACAGAUGAGGGGGGAGACUGGGUGAGUUUGCAUUGCAACUCCUCACACAGUUGACAUGACAAUUCUCUAAGAACUUUUACCUUUCAAUGUUUGAAGGGCCCAAAACAUUUCCAUUGCACUAUGAACAAUGGCCAUAGGCAAUUGCUGUGCUUUCUAUUACUGUGGUCUAAGGGGGUGUUGAGUUUGGUAGUAAAUAUAUGUUCAUAACCUUAAAGGGAUGGAUAAGUCAUUUUAAUCAUUUAAAUGUUUUCUUACAUUUAAAGCAGGUAGUGACUUCAAUCUUCAGUUUUUUUUAACAAGCCACUGCCAACAAAGGCUAAUUGUAAUUUCCCCUCUUCGCCACAUUCAUGGCUGCAUCAUCUCUUGAAUGGAUUGUGGGUCAAUAAUUUAAUCUAAAAUGAAAUGGCAGUGGCUAGUUAAACNNNNNNNNNNACCAUAUAUUUGCCAAUAACUGUAUAUAGUUUUUCAUCCUAAGGCAUUAUGUGAUAUAGCUGACAUGCUUCCUUUAUUCUUUCAGAACUUAACAGGAAACUCUACUGCAGUUUCUGUGCAACAGAUGAGGGGGGAGACUGGGUGAGUUUGCAUUGCAACUCCUCACACAGUUGACAUGACAAUUCUCUAAGAACUUUUACCUUUCAAUGUUUGAAGGGCCCAAAACAUUUCCAUUGCACUAUGAACAAUGGCCAUAGGCAAUUGCUGUGCUUUCUAUUACUGUGGUCUAAGGGGGUGUUGAGUUUGGUAGUAAAUAUAUGUUCAUAACCUUAAAGGGAUGGAUAAGUCAUUUUAAUCAUUUAAAUGUUUUCUUACAUUUAAAGCAGGUAGUGACUUCAAUCUUCAGUUUUUUUUAACAAGCCACUGCCAACAAAGGCUAAUUGUAAUUUCCCCUCUUCGCCACAUUCAUGGCUGCAUCAUCUCUUGAAUGGAUUGUGGGUCAAUAAUUUAAUCUAAAAUGAAAUGGCAGUGGCUAGUUAAACCAAAUUGUGGAUUGCUGAGCUAUCCUUUCAGCUGUGACAUCAUAUAAUGGAAUCAAUGGCCUGAUUGACAUGUACUUUCACAGAUGGAGUGCUCCACAUGCUCCAGUUGGUACCACACCACCUGUGCUGGGGUAUCCAUCAGCAUUUACCAUCAACACAUGGAGAAUCCUGCCUUACAAUGGAUGUGCCCACCCUGCCACAAUUGAAAAUCUGCACACCAAGGCUACUAUUGGGUUGAUACUGUGUCAAAUCUAUAAUGUCCAGAGGUGUAAAAGAUUUACAACUACAGCAGAUUUUAGGGAUGUCCCCGACGGGAAAUAAAAUCUGGGUUGACUUAGUGUCACACCCUGGUCAAAGUAUUUUGUGUUUAUCUUUAUUUAUUUGGUCAGGUCAGGGUGUGGCAUGGGUUUUUGUAUGUGGUGUGUAUUUAUGGGGAUUGUAGCUAGUGGGGUGUUCUAGCUAAGUCUAUGGCUGUCUGAAGUGGUUCUCAAUCAGAGGCAGGUGUUUAUCGUUGUCUCUGAUUGGGAACCAUAUUUAGGCAGCCAUAUUCUUUGAGUUUGUCGUGGGUGAUUGUCCUUAGUGUUAGUUUGCACCAGUUUAGGCUGUUUCGGUUUUCAUUACGUUUAUUAUUUUACACUGUUUGUAUUUAGAUUCGUGUUGCUAUAGUCACAAUAAACAUGGAUCGUAAUCUACACGCUGCAUUUUGGUCCGACUCUCCAUCUCACCUAGAAAACCGUUACAGAAUCACCCACCACAAAAGGACCAAGCAGCGUGUCAACAGGCAGGAGCAGCGCGAGGAGAAGCGCAAUAAGGAUUUCUGGACAUGGGAGGAAAUCCUCGACGGGAGAGGACCCUGGGCUAAACCAGGGGAGUGUAGCCGCACUAAGG
rnacentral:lncRNA from 13 species